rnacentral:misc_RNA from 1 species
GAUGAAGAACGUAGCGAAAUGCGAUACGUAAUGUGAAUUGCAGAAUUCAGUGAAUCAUCGAAUCUUUGAACGCAUAUUGCGCUCUCUGGUAUUCCGGAGAGCAUGCUUGUUUGAGUAUCAGUAAACACCUCAACUUCCAUAUCUUUUUUGAAAUGGGAGUUGGACUUGAGUGAUCCCAACGCUUUUCCUCACCGAAAAGUGGCGGGUUACUUGAAAUGCAGGUGCAGCUGGACUUUUCUCUGAGCUAUAAGCAUAUCUAUUUAGUCUGCUUAAAAAACAGAUUAUUACCUUUGCUGCAGCUAACAUAAAGGAGAUUAGUUCUUGUGCUGACUGAUGCAGGAUUCACAAAGACGGCUUCGGCCGACUUUGUAAACUCGAUCUCAAAUCAAGUAAGACUACCCGCUGAACUUAAGCAUAUCAAUAAGCGGAGGA